ensembl:lncRNA
GCAAUACAGACACAGCGCCAAGUCCUACACUUCGUUUUCCUGCUUACUGCUGGCAAGCAGCCUUGGUGGAUGCAAUUACACUGUUUGUCUGGUUUGUUCUUUUUGAUUACAUCAGGGGAAGACUCUGUUUCAGUAUUACAAAUUAUAUCCACCAACCACUCAGCGUCUGCAAUGUGUGGAUGUGCUUGUUCUCCUGCUAUCCUCUUGGGGUUAAUUGAAUAUCACAUUUCAAAGCCACUUUGAUGGAUUUACCAAAGUGCAAUACAAUAAAACUAUCACAAUGUUUUUCCACGCAAUGAAGCAAAUGCAGUUCAGACUCAGAGAGGAGAAGGGUGAAGGAAAUAGGUUCUGGAUGCAAUCGUGGUGCCUUGGAGGUUGAGCCAUGGAACACAGAUCUUUCUGCUUGGCAGCUGAGCUUCCAUGCUCUACUUCAAAUGAAAGCAAAGAACAGCUUCAAAGACUGCAUCCACAGCAAAGUUUCCCCAGCAUCAAAGGUGUAGACAGGCCCUUACCAAGAUGCACAUCAGUCUUGACAUCCAGACUGCAGUGAGGCUUUCCUGGGAUCUAAUCAGGAUAUGCAUGAAAGAAAGAAAUGAAGCAGAAGUCUUGCCAGGAUUUAGAUGCUGGAUGUGGGGGUUUUCAGUUCCUGUAGGAAACUCACAAUGGAAGUAAAUAUUAUAGGAUACCCUUGGUGAUAUCUUUCAGUAUCUAAAGGGGAGCUACAAGAAAUAAGGGGUCUUUAGCAGGGUCUGUGUUGAUAGGACAAAGGAGAACGGUUUCAAACUUAAAGAGGGGAUAUUUAGGUUGGAUAUAAGGAAAAAGUCUUUUACAGUGAGAGUGGUGAGGCACUGGCACAGGUAUCCCAGAGAUGUGGUUGAUGCCCUGUCCCUGGACACUUUCAAGGCAAGGCUGGAUUGUAGAAUCAUAGAAUCAUAGAAUGGUCUGGGUUGAAAAGGACAACAAUGCUCAUCUAGUUUCAAACCCCUGCUAUGUGCAGGGUCACCAACCACUAGAACCACUGGAUCAGGCCCUGGGCAACAUGAUCAAGCUUUGGUGUCCCUGUGCAUUGCAGGUGAGUUGGACUAGGUGACCUUUAAAAAUCCCUUCCAACUUUAAGGAAUCUAUAAUUCUGUGACUCUAUGAUAUUUCACUGAAUAUAUUUAUUUUAUAUGCUCAAACUAUAUGUCAAGCCUGCUCCCAAGUUCAGGUAUGAGCUCUGAUGAGGUGGUUAAAGGAUGGUCCAUGCUAUAAUAGCUCCUUAUCCAGGCUGUGAACUCCUUGCUUCUGGUUUAAAGAAGAGGUGUGAUGCAGCUGAGAGGAGACUGAGAAGCUGCUAUUAAUAAUUUCUUGGCUGCUGACUCUCUUGCUUUCUUAUCACGUGGGUAUCUGAAUGGAUCCUCAGGAUAAGUAAAGCUGUCUGAAAGACAGUGUAUGCCUUCUCCUUUGCAGUAAUAAUUUGACAGUUUAUAUGAGGGUCCCAUGAUCAUCUCCUUUCAUAUUUUCCGAGACCCAAUAGGGCAAGUUAGCCUGCAACGAUGUGGAGAAGGAUGAGUGAAAUGGAUCGGUGAAUUUCACCCAUACACUCUAUGUAUGUUAGCUCUCAUCUUUAUCUUGAGAAUAGUAGCACAGGAAUAUCUCCAAAAGUGACAAAAAACAUCACCUAGGAUAUGUUGGUUACCAUCACAAGCUGAGAAUGGGAGAAAUGAAGCAGUGAUCUAAGAGGGAAUGGGGGUAAAAGCAUCAAUACGGUGAUGUGCACAGCCUAUGUCCAGGUGGACCACCACCCUUAGCAGUGUUUGCCACGUGGCAACAAAAGGGGCACAGGGCCACACGUUGACUCUGUUGUAAUCAAUUGCAUGUGCAAUAGGUGGGACAUUAUUUUCUUUUCCAUUACUGCAAGCAUAGCCACAGAUCUGAUAUGCAGGGCGUCAACUCAUUUCCUGUAGUGUUUUUUAAAGUGGUCCCAUAGAAGACCUGGUCUGGUGGUUGGCAACCCUGCACAUAGCAGGGGGGUUGAAACUAGAUGAGCAUUAUGGUCCUUUUCAACCCAGGCCAUUCUAUUAUUCUAUGAAAACAUGGUAGUCAUGUACCUUACAUACUCAAUAUGAUAUUCAGGGAUACGUGUCCAGCCCAUUAAACCCCAGUGGAUUUAAUUAGAAACAGUGGAAGGGAAAAUAGGGUUUUUUUUUGACUGCAUGAGGAGCAAAAAGCAGCUGACAAUCUUAACUAUACUUGCUCUGCAAGUCUGGUAAGAGCAAAAGCCAGUGGCUCUGAGUGGGUACACAAAUAGGCAUGAAGGUUAAGAGAAUGCCUUUUCCUAUUUACGUUAAGGAACAAAAAUAGCUGCCUCUGAAUCAUCAUUACAAUGCAAUGAUAGCUUCAAAUGCAAGCAAGGGGAUACUGCAUCUCCAGGAUGUUAGAUAUGCAGGAAGAGCAGGCUAUACAGGAAUUCAUGCUUAAUGUGAAGGCAGUGAGAUGGACAUUACCACGGUAUGAGAUCUCCGCAUCUUCCACUUUCCUGAUUCUGGACAGUAAUCAGGAAUAUAUGAUUUUAAAGGAUGUUCAUCAGGUACAUUUGUAAUCAGUGACUAAUUGUAAGUAUCCUCAUAGUUAUGUACAGCAGAAGUAUGAUGUUUCCAGGUAAAGCUUAGUGGCUCUGGGCAGCUUGGUCUGGUGGUUGGCAACCCUGCACAUAACAGGGGGUUGAAACCAAAUGAUCACUGUGGUCCUUUUCAACCCAGGCCAUUCUAUGAUUCUGUGAUUCUGUGAUUCUAUGAUUCUAUGAUUCUAUGAUAUCCACAAGAACAUGAAACAAAAUUGAUUUAAGUGAGGCCAUUAGAGACAACAGAAGUGGGGAAGUUAAAGGCUUUUACUUUGUUUUCCAGUUCUUUUUGGUGCGUUAUUCUUCAACCAUAAAGUAUAAUAGGGAAAUUCCUGCUCUUGGGGAAUUUUUAUAGAGAAAUCUGAAUCUUGAAAGACAAUCCAAGUUUAAAAAAAAAAAAAAAAGGAGGAAAAAGAAAAAGAAUUAUAGAGAAACCUGAGAAGUUCAAGUGCAGUAAAUCAAUAGGAGCUGAUGGUCUUCACCCAUGGACAUGGAAGGGAAUGAAGUGUGAAACAGCAGAUCUGAGUUUAUGCAAUCAAGGACCAUUCCAAGAGCCACUACAAUCAGUGGAAAGACUCUCUGAAAACUGGAUCAGGCCUUCCCACAUUAAUUCAGAAAAAACAAUGAGUACCCACAGGAAGGCACCCAUCACCCUUUCAGGUUGGAUGUGGGAAAUGCAGUGGGGUGAGGAGGGCUGCACCGGUAGGACCAGCCAGAUCAGGAGCAACCCAUGCUGUAUGGAAAACUCUCUGUAAUUACAGUGCUCCGUCUUGGCCGGUGCAGUGCAGCUCUGUAGGAUUUGGCCCCAUAGUACUGGAAAUGGCAUGCGACACGACUGACAUGAAGCCAGGUCCUGCCACCCACAUGGCAAGGGGAAUGCUCUCAGGAUCUGGCCCAUCGCAGUGGCACUGCUGUGUUUACAUGGCUGCAGGCUCUUGCUGCUCCGCUCAGCUCGCUGGCUUGCUAGAUUCUCUACAUCUGAAAGCUGCUCUUUCUUCCCCAAAAUCACUGCUGGCAAUCAUUUGUCACUGCUAAGGACAACAUCUCCCGCUGCUUGGCGAAAGGGCUUCUGCACAGAUGAUGCCUUAUGGACAACUUCAAGUUUCCAAAGCAGCAUGAGCGCAGAGCACGGGCCAGGCUUCCCUUUUCAGUCACUGAGAAGCAAACACUCACAGCUGCCAAGGAUUUUACUUUAUUGUCAUUUAAGUUGGCUCUUUCUGCUCCAGUCGCUGGCGGUCUCACAGUAGCAGGAGUUGAGUAAUAAUAGUAUUUCCAGUCCACUCACCUCCAAGUAGUGCUUUACAGGAGAGACUGCUGGGAGAACAGGAUGAGGAUGGUUUGUAUUGGCUGUUCCUUCCCUCUUUCUCAUCAGACUGUGAUUCAAGCUAGCAUCAAGCUACAAACUCCAUCACACAUCCCCCCUGUGGAUUUUCCAUAUUCACUCCUCAGCAAGCGGGACUGCACUGCCAUCCAUCAGUUCUCAGAGGUGCAGAGAGGGUCCUCUCUUCUUGGAAAUUCUUAACCAAAGCCAUCCACUGUCUUUUUCAGCAGUGCCAUGGCUUGACUACACAGAGGCUUGGGACUAUAUUUUAACCUGAGAAGGUUUCUUCAGGAAGUUUGCAGAACCUGGGCUCACCAGACUUGCCCAGCUAAAUACGGGACACUCCCUUUUCCCAAAACUUUCCUCAUAUUCACAGAAACAGAAAACAAAUCAAGGAAAGUACCUGGAAGCAGGCUAAUGUCACAAAGCUCCUAAAUCAGCCCCAAAGUCAUGGAUACACCAUCUGAAACAACCUCUAACUGCAAUUUCAAUGCAGCUUUGGGCCGCAGGAAACUAGUGCUCUUGGCCAUCAGCUUCUUUAAGAAUACAAAGAAAUUAUAACCUCCAUCUUCUUUAAUGUUGGUCUUCAAAUUUCUUAAAUGUUCUUUUUUUUUUUUUUUUGCUAAGUUAGAGACAAAGUCACACUAUUGUGGAGGAGGAGCACCUCUGCUGUGUCUGUUGUUUGAGACAACAAGCCAGAGACUGUCAUAUUUUGCAGAAUCCUUUGCAAGUAGGUCCUCAUUCACGGUACUCACUUGACUUUGCUUUCUUGGCUUCAGGGGAGCACUCUGGUUUCUUCACAGCUGUGAUCAGCCCUAUUAAAAAGAAACACCAGCCUGCUCCAUCUGCAAUUCAACAGAGCAAGAAAAGGAUCGACCAAGUAAAUUCAUUCUCUGUUGAAUGUCUCAUUGAGUGGAGAUGCCCAAGGUCAGGCUGGACGGGGCUCUGAGCACUCGAUGGAGCUGUGAGUGACUCUGUUCAUUGCAGAAGAGUUGGGCCAGAUGGCCGUUUGCGUUCCCUUCCAACUGAAACAGUUCUAUGUUUCUGUGAUUUUCAUGUAGAAACAAAGCCACAGGUAAAGAGGAGCAAGGGUUGGAGAGGACUGCGCUAAGAUAUCGCAAACUGAAGGAAAUAAAGGUUAAUGAUACCAUCCCACCUGGAAGUAAAGGAUGCUUUGAGGUUUGUCUGAGGAUGUCUGAAUGAGACCAUGACUUGGGAGUGGCUGAUUGCAGCCCUUCAGAGCUGUAAUAGUUGCAGUGCAAUCUUUAGAGCUGAUAGCAGCAACUAAUUGCUUCUGUUUUCUGACUUUCCAGAGGGAAGAGUGACUCUGAAUUAAUGCAUGGUGUCUUCUGUCUGAUUUCCUAAACUGUUGUAAAAGUAAAUAUCUUAUAGUAAACAUCACUUCAAUCAAAAUCUGGAUAGUCAUGACUAGACUUGGAAGGUUACAACCCACUACAGAAGACACUGAGAGAAGGAAGGCCUUACCACUUCUUUUCUUUAGUGGUUGUAAAUGAUUUGUGAGAAAAAGGAAUGAAAGAUCGUCCAUUGUAUUGUUAGUUUAAUGGUGAUUUUCUGCCUCAUAAUAAAAGCAUCAACAAGAUUUUACAUCGGUAGACAGUUUUACAGCUUCCAGAAUUUUUUUGGAUGGAAUUGUUGGG